rnacentral:rRNA from 1 species
CAACUCUCAACAAAAGAUAUCUUGGCUCCCGUAACGAUGAAGAACGCAGCGAAAUGCGAUACGUAGUGUGAAUUGCAGAAUUCCGUGAACCAUCGAAUCUUUGAACGCAAAUUGCGCUCGAGGCUUCGGCCAAGAGCAUGUCUGCCUCAGCGUCGGCU